rnacentral:rRNA from 1 species
CCUACGGGUGGCAGCAGUGAGGAAUAUUGGUCAAUGGGCGGGAGCCUGAACCAGCCAAGUCGCGUGAAGGAAGAAGGUACUUAGUAUUGUAAACCUCUUUUGUCGGGGAACAAAGGCGGGGACGCGUCCCCGGAUGAGUGUACCCGCAGAACAAGCAUCGGCUAACUCCGUGCCAGCAGCCGCGGUAAUACUGAGGAUGCGAGCGUUAUCCGGAUUUAUUGGGUUUAACGGGUGCGCAGGCGGAAGAUCAAGUCAGCGGUAAACGGUCGGGGCUCAACCCCGGCCGGCCGUUGAAACUGGUUGUCUAGAGUUGGAGAGAAGUAUGCGGAAUGCGUGGUGUAGCGGUGAAAUGCAUAGAGAUCACGAAGAACUCCGAUUGCGAAGGCAGCAUACCGGCUCCAUACUGACGCUGAGGCACGAAAGCGUGGGGAUCGAACAGGAUUAGAUACCCGAGUAGUC